UGUGGUUUGGAAAAUGAACAUCAGCAGUGAAAACACUUCGAAGUAUCUCAUUGCCUACAGAAACGGUGCCAGUUACUUAACACUAUUUCAUGGUAGGAAUAGGUGUUUAAAAGCCUUGUUGAAUUUCUCGGAUGGGAUUUUCAUAUCGGAAUCGUCCCCUCGUUGCUGCUUUACAUUAAAUACACAGGACAUGGCAAUGGAGGAGACAAAACGAAAGAGCUGAUUGUGGACUUCAGGAAACAGCAGAGAGACCACGCUCAUAUGCACAUCGACGGGAUCACAGUGGAGAAGGUGGAAAGCUUCAAGUUCCUCGGCAUACACAUCACUUACAAUCUGAAAUGGUCCACCCACACAGAUAGUGUGGUGAAGUAGGAGGCUGAAGAAAUUCGGCUUGGCCCUUAAGACCCUCACUAAGUUUUUUACAGAUGCAUAGUUGAGAACAUCCUGUAGGCCUGGUACUGCAACUGCACCUCCCACAACCGCAGGGCUCUCCAGAGGCCCAACGCAUCACCGGGGGCACACAGGAAGGCCAUAAAGAUCAUCAAGGACAUCAACCACCCAUACCAUGGCCUGUUCACCCCGCUAUCAUCCAGAAGGCGAGGUCAGUACAGGUGCAUCAAAGCUGGGACCGAGACUGAAAAACAGCUUCUAUCUCAAGGCCAUCAGACUGUUAAAUAGCCAUCACUAGCCGGCUACCGCCUGCUUACUCAACCCUGCACCUUAGAGGCUGCUGCCCUAUAUACAUAGACAUGGAAUCACUGGCCACUUUAAUAAUGGAACACUAGUCACUUUUAUAAUCUUUACAUACUGCUUUACUCAUCUAAUAUGUACAUUGAGGGAAAAAAGUAUUUGAUCCCCUGCUGAUUUUGUACAUUUGCCCACUGACAAAGAAAUGAUCAGUCUAUAAUUUUAAUGGUAGGUUUAUUUGAACAGUGAGAGACAGAAUAACAACAAAAAAAUCCAGAAGAAAACGCAUGUCAAAAAUGUUAUAAAUUGAUUUGCAUUUUAAUGAGGGAAAUAAGUAUUUGACCCCUCUUCAAAACAUGACUUAGUACUUGGUGGCAAAAACCCUUGUUGGCAAUCAGAGGUCAGACGUUUAUUGUAGUUGGCCACCAGGUUUGUCCCACUCCUCUUUGCAGAUCUUCUCCAAGUCUUUAAGGUUUCGAGGCUAGGCCACUCCAGGACCUUAAUGUGCUUCUUCUUGAGCCACUCCUUUUUUGCCUUGGCUGUGUGUUUUGGGUCAUUGUCAUGCUGGAAUACCCAUCCACGAACCAUUUUCAUUGCCCUGGCUGAGGGAAGGAGGUUCUCACCCAAGAUUUGACGGUACAUGGCCCCGUCCAUCGUCCCCUUAGCAGAAAAACACCCCCAAAGCAUAAUGUUUCCACCUCCAUGUUUGACGGUGGGGAUGGUGUUCUUGGGGUCAUAGGCAGUAUUCCUCCUCCUCUAAACACAGCGAGUUGAGUUGAUGCCAAAGAGCUCCAUUUUGGUCUCAUCUGACCACAACACUUUCACCCAGUUGUCCUCUGAAUCAUUCAGAUGUUCAUUGGCAAACUUCAGACGGGCAUGUAUAUGUGUUUUCUUGAGCAGAGGGACCUUGCGGGCGCUGCAGGAUUUCAGUCCUUCACGGCAUAGUGUGUGACCUAUUGUUUUCUUGGUGACUAUGGUCCCAGCUGCCUUGAGAUCAUUGACAAGAUCCUCCCGUGUAGUUCUGGGCUGAUUCCUCACCGUUCUCAUGAUCAUUGCAUCUCCACGAGGUGAGAUCUUGCAUGGAGCCCCAGGCCGAGGGAGAUUGACAGGUCUUUUGUGUUUCUUCCAUUUGUGAAUAAUCACACCAACUAUUGUCACCUUCUCACCAAGCUGCUUGGUGAUGGUCUUAUAGCCCAUUCCAGCCUUGUGUAGGUCUACAAUCUUGUCCCUGACAUCAUUGGAGAGCUGUUUGGUCUUGGCCAUAAUGGAGAGUUUGGAAUCUGAUUGAUUGAUUGCUUCUGUGGACAGGUGUCUUUAAUACAGGUAACAAACUGAGAUUAGAAGCACUCCCUUUAAGAGUGUGCUCCUAAUCUCAGCUCGUUACCUGUAUAAAAGACACCUGGGAGCCAGAAAUCUUUCUGAUUGAGAGGGGGUCAAAUACUUAUUUCCCUCAUUAAAAUGCAAAUCAAUUUAUAAAAAUUUUGACAUUCGUUUUUCUGGAUUUUUUUGUUGUUAUUCUGUCUCUCACUGUUCAAAUAAACCUACCAUUAAAAUUAUAGACGGAUAAUUUCUUUGUCAGUGGGCAAACAUACAAAAUCAGCAGGAGAUCAAAUACUUUUUUCCCUCACUGUAAAUACUGUAUUCUAUUCUACUGUAUUUUAGUCAAUGCCACUUCGACAUUGCUCGUCCUGAUAUUUAUAUAAUUCUGAAUUCCAUUCCUUUACUUUUAGAUUUGUGUGACUUGUUAAAUACUACUUCAUUAUUGGAGCUAGGAACACAAGCAUUUCGCUACACCCGCACUAACAUCUGCUAAAUAUGUGUAUGUGACCAAUAAAAUGUGAUUUGAUUACAGAAGAGAGAGCAUGUCUUGCCAUCAGUGAGUGUAGAAGUGACUCUCCUGGUGUGAAUGUGCAUACUAAGUACUAAGGGACUUUUGAAUCUGAUUUUGCUCUAUCGGUUUGACUAUUGCUGGCAUUGAAAACCAAGCCUUGUAUUAUCCAGCUUGUGCUUCACAGUAUUUCCAAAGGUCUCAAAAGGAAAGAAACAGUCCUGUUUUGUAUCCAGUGUGAGUUCGUAGACAGGUCUUGGAGCUGAAGCCUGUAUAGAAAGAACAUAUUUCCACCCCUGAGACUUUAGCUGCAGACAUUUUACAUUUUUUACAGGAAGCUUAUGGCUGUAAUUAGUUAUUCAUUUACUGACAAGUUUAAAGUUGAAACGUGCACAAGAUAUGCGUCCUGAUGUUCAAUUUCAUAGACAAACAACAUAAUAAGGUUUUAUUGCAGCCAGUUAGGUAGUUACGGCUGUUAUGGCUUGGGAAGCCUUCUC
ensembl:lncRNA